AUGAGUCACGGCUAAUUUGUGCCAGCAGCCGCGGUAAGACAAAUGUGGCAAGCGUUGUUCGGAAUCACUGGGCAUAAAGGGCACGUAGGCGGUGUAGUAAGUUAACUGUGAAAUCCCCCGGCUUAACUGGGGAACUGCAGUUAAUACUGCUAUACUAGAGUGCAGAAGAGGAGAGUGGAAUUCUAGGUGUAGCGGUGGAAUGCGAAGAUAUCUAGGAGAAGGCCGGUGGCGAAAGCGACUCUCUGGUCUGUCACUGACGCUGAGGUGCGAAAGUGUAGGUAGCGAACGGGAUUAGAUACCCCGGUAGUCUACACUGUAAACGAUGGGCACUAGAUGGUGGAAGCGCCGAUAGCUUUCUCCGUCGCAGUUAAUGCGUUAAGUGCCCCGCCUGGGGAGUAUGGCCGCAAGGUUAAAACUCAAAGGAAUUGACGGGGGCCCACACAAGCGGUGGAGGAUGUGGCUUAAUUCGAGGAUACGCGUAGAACCUUACCGAGGCUUGACAUGCAGGUGGUAGUGAAGUGAAAGCGGAACGACCCGAAUAGGGAGCCUGCACAGGUGCUGCAUGGCUGUCGGCAGCUCGUGUCGUGAGAUGUUAGGUUAAGUCCUGUAACGAGCGAAACCCUUGUGCUUAAUUGCCAGCACGUUAUGGUGGGGACCUUAAGCAGACUGCCCCGGCCAACGGGGAGGAAGGUGGGGAUGACGUCAAGUCAGCAUGGCCUUUAUGCCUCGGGCCGCACACGUCCUACAAUGGGCUGUACAAUGGGGGCCUAAACCGCGAGGUGGAGGAAAUCCUGUAAAGCAGCUCUCAGUUCGGAUUGCAGGCUGCAAUUCGCCUGCAUGAAGGUGGAAUCGCUAGU
rnacentral:rRNA from 1 species